UUAACUAUUAUAUAGUACUCAGACGACACUAAUAUUCAGAGUUUGGGGGUCCUCUGGCGGGCCGCCGGAGCGGGCACCGCCGAGGCAACGAUAGGUAUGUUCACAGGGGUUUGGGAGUUGUAAACUCGAUAAUGAUCCCUCCGCUGGUUCACCAACGGAGA
rnacentral:misc_RNA from 1 species